rnacentral:misc_RNA from 1 species
AAAAGUACCGAGUGGCUUUACGCCACGGGUUAAUGCACCGACAUCGGCCUUAGGGCACGUGACGUGUAAAAUUACUUGUUGAAACACUUUAUUUAUGCUUCGGUUGCAUCUUCCGUCUAAUCGCGGUUGGGUAAGUCGGCCAGAGGCACACUUUAAAACUAGUUGAUGAAAUGUCAUGCUGUCUGAUACUGUUUAGUAUUUGAGAAAUCGAAUAUAUAUUA